AUACCAAGUAGUAGCUGGAGUUGCAUAAUCAUUGCAUCCUUGGAGGAACUGUAUUAGAAUAACCUGCAGACUUGAGAGAUAAAAGUGGAUCAGAAGAACCUGCCGAAUAAUUAUAAAUUAUAGCUCGAUCUUUCUAUAGAAAAACUACAACUCAGACCUUGAUAUAUUAUGUUAUAAAAGGUUUAGAGAAAAAGAUAUUUUAUUAACUAAUUAUUGCCCAAAUCAUAUUUUAUUGUUUAUAAAAUUAACAGAUUUAAAUCUAAUACAAAUGCUGAAAUCCAUCUCUCACGGUAUCAGUGAUAUUGCAAUGAAUAUUGUGGCUGAUUGUCAUGAUAUCGAACAAAUGUAUAAAGAAGUAAUGCAUCGCGGUGCUGUCGUGAGCCAUGAAUGGCUUUUGUUAUCGCGAUAUUGUUUUGCGAGAAAUUUACUUUUCCGUCUUUGUUAAGAUCUGAAAGCAUAAAAGUUUUACGUAAUGUAUUUACAUAGAUCAAGCAUAUCAUACGCCAGGCACUAGUUUAGUGAUGUAGUGAACCGGCGCGCGGCGGCGCAUGCGAAAGAGAAACGUAACACAACUAACAAUAAAUUUUUCUUCUUCUUCUAACAAAAGGUUAUUCUCUAUAUAUUGAGAGAGAAAGAGAGAGAGAGAAGUUGUUUCUUUUCUCGCAUGUGUGAGGAGGGAAUUAGUUGUGCUUCUUUCUUCUUUUGCACAUGUCGAUCAAGUAUCGUGCUCGAUUUAUUUAUAUCAUAUCUAUGUGUUUACCCCUAUAAUCCGGUUCUCAUUUGCGUAGUUGAUAAACAAUAAUACCACUGAUAAGCAUAGUAUAGAAUCAUAAAAAUUCUCAAAGUGCUCACGUAUUUAAAGAGAUUAUUGUUCUAUUUAUAUUUCUGAGUGCACAUACGUGUUUGGUAUAUAAACUGAACAAUUGUCGAAAUGAUUCACUUUGAAUCACUGAGCUGACUGUAUAUAAAGAUAUUAAAGUGUCUAGAGUUAAAAGUAUUUUUUUUCUUAAUAUUUCUACAUACACAAAAUUCUUAAGUAAUCGAUCAAUAUGAGAAAACUGAUUGUGCUCCUUUGCUUUGUGCUCCUCGCAAUGACUUUAGUCUCGGCUCACAAUCAGUGCGCUAUUGUCUUUGGAAUGGUAUAAAAUUGAUAAAUUACAUAAAUUUCCGGAAGUAUAAUCAGUGUAAGAAACGCAAUGACAUUUUAUUUACUAGAUUGCUAUUUAUAUUUUACAUAUCUAUAUGUAUAUUUUUGCAUUAAUCUAAUGUAUUAAAAUAGAAAUUAGAGGAAAUAAAGCCAAUAAACGAGCAAACACAGACUUUGUAAUACAAUUAUAUAAUUUUAUUCGGUAAAAUUAAAACGAGGUGUCCAAGGUCUGUGAAGUGCAAUGCAUAGCCUCUCACAAUUAGAGGUAAAUGUCUCAACCUCACCUUCCAAUGGCGGACAUCGUUUUUAGAUACAUCCCGAUGCGUAGAAUUAAAAAAGAAGUCAAUAAGGACUUUAAUACUGGAGCACUAAAUAAAAUAAAGGGAUAGUCUAGCUUCGAUGUUGUUCAACCUAGCAUUGGAAGAAGCCAUAAGAAAGAUCGGAGUGGAUGUAAGAGGGGAUCUUGUCAGUUAUAAAUCCAAAUAGCUAAUAGGAUAUGCAGAUGACUUCAACUGUCUGGCGAGGUCAACGCAUGGACGCAAUAAGAUCUUUAAAAAUCAGGAGAUAGCAGCAAGGGAAAUAGGAUAGCAUCAAUAAAAUCAAUGAAAAUAAGACAAAAAUGUUAAUCACAUUUAGGAAAAAGAGAAAAAAUGGACAAAAAAUUCUCUUCGGUAAUUACAACUUCAAAGAGGUACAAGAAUUUAAAUACUUAUUAGGAUCUAUACUGUCCGUAGAUAACGAUAAAAUGAAAGACGUGCUUAAAGUAGCAAACAGAGGAUAUUAUGCGUUACUCCCGGUGAUAAAAUUCAAAGACGUACAUAGGAGUACGAAAAUCAUGCUCUACAAAACAUUAAUACGUAGUGUUAUUACGUAUGGAUGUGAAACAUGGGCGAUCACGCGGAGAAUCACAGAUAAUCUGGACACUUUCGAGAGGAAAAUAUUACGAAGACUAUACAGGCCAGUAUAGGAAGCUUAUGGAUAAUAAGACGACAGACUCACAAUCAGCUGGGCCUGGUAUAUGCAACGCCUUGAAGACACUAGAAUACCAAAAAGAAUUCUGACAAAUCUGCAAGCUUUAAUGAGAAGUAAUCGCCUGAAGGGACACCGAGUAGGGAGGAUGGAAUGGCUGAGGAAGCGAGAAGACUACUGGGUGUCAGGAUGUGCGAAUGAUCGAGAGGAAUGGAGGACUAAGCUUCGGGAAGCCAUGGCUCGAUCUUGAGCUAUAACUUGUGCCAUUGAAGAAGAAGAAGAAAAUUGAAGCGAAACAUUUCGACUUUACUAACAAUAAGUAUUCUUCAGCUGCCAAAUUACAAACGACUAUUAACAUUGUUAAAAGACGUUGACCAAGGAGAUCUUGCCCAUUGCCGGCGGGGCGUUCACUGAAGAGGAUCUCGUGGUUGCCGACCCAUCAAUAAUCGAAUCUAACUGUCAAAGCUUGUCAAGGGAAGAAGUGAAUAGCGAUGGCUUCGGACAAUUUUGAUUUUGGAUCUUGAACACUGUGACUCACAGCGGAAAGAAAAUGUUGUGUGUUCUCCGACUAGAAUUAAUUGCACAAAUGACUUUCCUUGCUGUAAUAAAACAAUUAAUAAAAUUACGGUACUGAUGACUUGCGUACAUGGAUUUUGCAUGAUUCAAGGUCUAGCAGGAACAUUAGAAUAAUCUGGCAGACUUAAGAGAAGAAAGUGGAUCAGAAGAACUUGCCGAAUAAUUAUAAAAUGGGAUAAAAACAAUAUAAAUAAAAUUAAGAUAAAAAUAUAAAAA